CUCGUCACUGCGCAGCCAAUCGGCAGGCGGGAAGCACUCCGGCCCGAACGUGCGGGCGGGGCAGGGUGGCGGCCCCGCACGGAAUCCCAGUCAGAAGUUCCAGCCUGCCACUGUUCUCUGAUGCCAUGCCAGCACCAACUCAACUGUUUUUUCCUCUCAUCCGUAACUGUGAACUGAGCAGGAUCUAUGGCACUGCAUGUUACUGCCACCACAAACAUCUCUGUUGUUCCUCAUCGUACAUUCCUCAGAGUCGACUGAGAUACACACCUCAUCCAGCAUAUGCUACCUUUUGCAGGCCAAAGGAGAACUGGUGGCAGUACACCCAAGGAAGGAGAUAUGCU
rnacentral:lncRNA from 1 species